rnacentral:misc_RNA from 1 species
AAAGUUUUCGGAACGUGAGGCGUAAAACCCUUACGGACCGCUAAACCCCCACCCUUGUGUAUUAUUUAAUUGUUGCUUUGGUAGGCCGCGAGCGUAACCGUGAGCACCGGCUUCGGCUGGAGAGCGCCUGCCAGAGGACCCUAACUCUGUUAUUUUGUGAUAUCUGAGUACUAUAAAAUAGUUA